rnacentral:rRNA from 1 species
AUGACCAUGCUCGCCACGUUUGAGCUCCUCAAGCAUGCCCCCAAGCUUGUUGAGAAUGGCAAGAAGACGCUUAUUCUCCAUGGUACAAAGACUCGCGCAGUUUUGAACUCCAUGCUGUCAGAUCUUUUUCACCUGAAGCAUGAUCAUUCUGUGAAGUACGCCAAGAAUAAUGACAACAUGAAACCAUUUGAGAGUGGGGGUUAA